rnacentral:misc_RNA from 1 species
GAUGAAGAACGCAGUGAAAUGCGAUAAGUAAUGUGAAUUGCAGAAUUCAGUGAAUCAUCGAAUCUUUGAACGCACAUUGCGCCCGCCAGUAUUCUGGCGGGCAUGCCUGUUCGAGCGUCAUUUCAACCAUCAAGCCCCGGGCUUGUGUUGGGGACCUGCGGCUGCCGCAGGCCCUGAAAUGCAGUGGCGGGCUCGCUGUCACUCCGAGCGUAGUAGUUACAUCUCGCUCUGGGCGUGCUGCGGGUUCCGGCCGUUAAAAGCCUUAUUUACCCAAGGUUGACCUCGGAUCAGGUAGGAAGCCCCGCUGAACUUAAGCAUAUCAAUAAGCGGAGGA